UGGGGAAUAUGGACAAUGGGCGCAAGCCUGAUCCAGCCAUGCCGCGUGAGUGAUGAAGGGCCUUAGGGUUGUAAAGCUCUUUCGCCGGUGAAGAUAAUGACGGUAACCGGAGAAGAAGCCCCGGCUAACUUCGUGCCAGCAGCCGCGGUAAUACGAAGGGGGCUAGCGUUGCUCGGAAUCACUGGGCGUAAAGCGCACGUAGGCGGAUCGUUAAGUCAGGGGUGAAAUCCUGGAGCUCAACUCCAGAACUGCCCUUGAUACUGGCGAUCUCGAGUUCGAGAGAGGUUGGUGGAACUCCGAGUGUAGAGGUGAAAUUCGUAGAUAUUCGGAAGAACACCAGUGGCGAAGGCGGCCAACUGGCUCGAUACUGACGCUGAGGUGCGAAAGCGUGGGGAGCAAAACAGGAUUAGAUACCCUGGUAGUCCACGCCGUAAAACGAUGGAUGCUAGCCGUUGGGGGGUUUACCUCUCAGUGGCGCAGCUAACGCCUUAAGCAUCCCGCCUGGGGAGUACGGUCGCAAGAUUAAAAACUCAAAAUGAAUUGACGGGGGUCAUAGCUG
rnacentral:rRNA from 1 species